rnacentral:rRNA from 1 species
AUUGAACGCUGGCGGCAUGCCUUACACAUGCAAGUCGAACGGUAACAGGUCUUCGGACGCUGACGAGUGGCGAACGGGUGAGUAAUACAUCGGAACGUGCCCAGUCGUGGGGGAUAACUACUCGAAAGAGUAGCUAAUACCGCAUACGAUCUGAGGAUGAAAGCGGGGGACCUUCGGGCCUCGCGCGAUUGGAGCGGCCGAUGGCAGAUUAGGUAGUUGGUGGGAUAAAAGCUUACCAAGCCGACGAUCUGUAGCUGGUCUGAGAGGACGACCAGCCACACUGGGACUGAGACACGGCCCAGACUCCUACGGGAGGCAGCAGUGGGGAAUUUUGGACAAUGGGCGAAAGCCUGAUCCAGCAAUGCCGCGUGCAGGAUGAAGGCCUUCGGGUUGUAAACUGCUUUUGUACGGAACGAAAAAGCUCCUUCUAAUACAGGGGGCCCAUGACGGUACCGUAAGAAUAAGCACCGGCUAACUACGUGCCAGCAGCCGCGGUAAUACGUAGGGUGCGAGCGUUAAUCGGAAUUACUGGGCGUAAAGCGUGCGCAGGCGGUUAUGUAAGACAGAUGUGAAAUCCCCGGGCUCAACCUGGGAACUGCAUUUGUGACUGCAUGGCUAGAGUACGGUAGAGGGGGAUGGAAUUCCGCGUGUAGCAGUGAAAUGCGUAGAUAUGCGGAGGAACACCGAUGGCGAAGGCAAUCCCCUGGACCUGUACUGACGCUCAUGCACGAAAGCGUGGGGAGCAAACA